rnacentral:rRNA from 2 species
UUAUUGAGAGUUUGAUUCCUGGCUCAGACGAACGCUUGGCGGCGUGGCCUAAACAUGCAAGUUGAGCGGAUGAAGAUUGUGCUGCAACCCAAUUUUGAAGAGCAGCGAUACGGUGAAACGCGUGGGGGAUUCUGCCUUUAGCGGGCGGUACAACAUUUGGAAACGAAUGCUAAAUACCGCUAACAACUUUAAACACAAGUUAAGUUUGAAAGAACAUUGCAAUGUCAUCCACUUCAAUGCAUUGAUCCGUCGUUUUGUACAUUAGCUUAGUUUCCGUGAUAAAGGUCACCAAGGCUGGAUGAUACAUAGCCGACACUGCGAGAGGUUGUUGAUCGCCACAUUGGGACUGAGACAUCGGCCCAAACUCCUACGGGGAUGGCACAUUAGGGAAUCUUCGGGCAAUAUGGGAUCCGGAAGUCUGAUCCGAGCAAGCCGGUGAGUGAAGAAGGUUUUUCGGAUUCGUAAAACUCUGUGGUUAGAGAAAGAACGUUGGUGAGAGUGGAAGCCACAUCAAGUUGACGUAAACUACCCAGAACAGGGUUAUCGGCUCAACUACUGCAGCAGCCGCGGUAAUACGUACUUAUUUGUCCCGAAGCGUUGUCCGGAUUAUUGGGCGUAUAAGCGAGCCGCAGGUGGUUUAUUAAAGUCUGGUGUACAAGGCAGUGGACUCAACCACUGUAUGCAUUGGAAACUGGUAGACUUAGAGUGCAGGAGAGGAGAGUGGAAUUCCAUGUGUAGCGGGAAAUGCGUUAGAUAUUUUUUUUUUAUGAGGAAACACCCUUGGCGGCGAAAGCGGCUCUCUGGCCUGUAACUGACACUGAGGCUCGAUAAGCGUGGGACAACGGAUUAGAUACCCUCCAAUAUUUCUCUCCCCACACCUACGAAUCGGUAGUCCACGCGCGUAAACGAUGAGUUGCUAAGAUGUAGGGAGCCUAUAAGUUCUCUUGUAUCGCAGCUAACGCAUAAGACUCCGCCUGGGGAAGUACGACGCAGGUUGAAAACCAAAGGAAUUGGACGGGGGCCGCACAAGCGGUGGUAGCCAAUGUGGUUUAAUCGAAGCACGCAGAAGAACCUUACAGUCUCUUGACCCCCGCUGCUAUUCCUAAGAUGAUAGGAAGUUCCUUCGGGACAUCGGGUAACAUGUGUGGGCUAUAGGUUGUCGUCAUCUGCGAUGUCGUGAGAUGUUGGUUAAGUCCCGCAUAAGCGCAACCCCUAUUGGUGAGUUGCCAUAUUUAUGUUCGUCCCGGGCACUCUAACGAUGACUGCCGGUGAUUAAACCGGAGGAAGGUGGCGGAUGACGUCAAUCAUCAUGCCCCAAUCUUCGGGCUACACAUCGUGCACAAUGGGAUGUUACAACGAGUCGCUGAGACAGUGAUGUUUAGCUAAUCUUCUCUAAAACCAUUCUCAGUUCGUAUUGUAGGCUGCAACUCGCACAUGAAGUCGAAUCGCUAGUAAUCGCGAUCAGCACGCCGCGGUGUAAUACUUUCCCGGGCCUGUGUACACACCGGCCCGUCACACCACGGGAGUUAUUCCUCAUGCUCUUGGGAUGUACCCGAAUGUAGGUUGCUCUUAACCGCUAAGGAUGGCGCUCCUUCAUAUUGGUAAGGACGAUGACUGGCGUGUGAUCGUACAACUGGUAGCCGUAUACGGAAGGUGCGCUGAUCACCUCCUUUUCUCUAAGGAUAUAUCCCCUUCCCUACACACAUACCAGCAGUUCAACUUUAUUCAGUUUUGAGGGUUU